AUAUUUAAGUUGCUGCAGUUAAAAAGCUCGUAGUUGGAUUUCGGAUGGGUUCCGUCGGUCCGCCGUUUCGGUGUGCACUGACGGCGCCUAUCUUGCUGUCGGGGACGGGCUCCUGGGCUUUACUGUCCGGGACUCGGAGUCGACGAGGUUACUUUGAGUAAAUUAGAGUGUUCAAAGCAGGCCUACGUCUCUGAAUACAUUAGCAUGGAAUAACACGAUAGGACUCUGGCCUAUCUUGUUGGUCUGUAGGACCGGAGUAAUGAUUAAGAGGGACAGUCGGGGGCAUUCGUAUUUCAUUUCA
rnacentral:rRNA from 1 species